rnacentral:misc_RNA from 1 species
CGCACAAACACGAGAUCUAAUUCCAUCCAUUGAAAAACAAGGCAGCACCUGACUGUAACUUAAUCCUUCAAUAAAAGUUGUCGAUACAUCUAUAAAAAUAACUUCUAAUGGAAUCAUCAUGAUUUAUGACUAUUAAUUCAGUAGUGAUUAUCAAUUUUUACUGAUUACAUUUUCUGCUGCAUAUCUUACCAGUCAUACUUGCAUAGCUCAAGUGCUAAAAGAUCAUUUGUGCUUAGGCCGAUUUACUCCCAAUAUUAGGUGACAAAAUUUAAAGUUGGGUCUGCACUUGUUGCAGUUUUAAGACCCCAUAUGGGGAGACAUCCCUUUUUUCCUCAGCAUUUGCACAUCUUCUUUACAUGACUUUGCUUAAGCUAAUAAGGCAAGAUUACCUUUAAAUGGCAAUGAAGCUAAGCCAGCUACUCUUGGCUCCUCUUCAUAAGCCAUAAAACUCCAAGAUGGAUUCCAUUCAUUUUGCUUUACGAUCAGCUCCUAAACCUUCAAGUACGAACCCACAAAGGUUCCAAAGAGAAAUGCUUCUCAUCUCGGGCAUGCGCUCCUAGAGUACCAGGUGGAGGUGCAUGCACGGUUAUAGGGAGAACCCACUCACUCUUGUCUCUACCCUCUACCAGAAGAGGAUGCUCAUAUCUGAAUUUGGAAGAUCAAGAAACUUAAUACAAAAGAGAUGGUUGAAAUAUUCAAGUACUGCUGAGAAGCAUGUAACCAUAUAAAACUGAGUAUUUCCCGUAUUACCACAAAACAAAAAUAACGAUUUGAGUAGAGUCACAUAUCAAUGCAUGUAUGCAUUAGGAUGGGUAAUUGUUUUCAUAACUGACAAGGAUUGAAGUACGUGCAAAGCUGCUGAAUGAAAAUAAAAUGAGAACUCAUGAAUUAAGAGACAUGAAAACUGGGCUCAAUCAUAACGUAUUUUUGUUUUUAACGAUAAUAAAUAGCAUAACGGGUACAAACCUAGAGACUCAGCCAGCAACACCAUGCCAUGGUGAAAAAUCUAUGUUUAAAGAUCAAAAGGACCUUUGCAACAAAUUUUUCUUGGAAUAAUAUAUAGAAAUACCUUGUCCAGUCCACAUUCUUUGGAGUGGUAAAAAAUUCGAAUCGUAGAACCCAUUGCACAGAGACAUGUGGAGUAGAAAAGGACAUGGGCCCAUCCAUGGGUAAAGAAAAAAGAAAGCUGGUCUGCACCAAAUCUGCAACAACCUCAUGAUGAUCACUCUGAACCCUUGUGAUUGUUGGGGAAUUCCUGCGAGAAGGAUGAACAAAACGCCUAUUUAUGGUCUCUGAAGUUUCCAGUGUUAUUGAGACCUCAAGGCAUCUCCUUGAUCCUUGUCCAUGAAAAAAAGUAAGAGUUCCACCAAUCAUGUCACUGAAGUAAUAAGUAGAGUCAGAAUUCUUUGGGGAAAAUCUCAAUAGAACUUGAUCAUCCAUCCUGAUGUUAUAAGACUUUCCUCGAACAAAGCCUUCUGCUGCAGAGAAUGUUUGCAACAAAUAAGCUUUAACCAGCAUUGUGCAAAACAAAUUAAAGUAGAUCUAAAAUAUAUAAGUAUUUAUGAUCUUUGAAGAGGAGGGGGGGAAUAAGCUUUUGAUAAUUUACAUGUUGCUGGUUCACUGGUUCCUGCACCAGGCAGAGAGGAUUCCCCUAUAAUACCAUCUGCAGAUUGGGGUUUCACAAUCUUCUGCUGCUGGUUUGAAGAGACAAUGGAUGCUGAAUUAUCAGGUGAUGAAAUAUCUGCACCAGAACCAUAUAAAACCUCAGCCACAGAUAGCCGAGGAGGUGCCAGAGUUGAUAAACUUGUACGUACUGCAUCAAUAUGUGAAGCAUCCUUAUUUGAAGACCUCGCUGCAAAUGAUUGCAAGGACAAAGAACUUCCAAAGGUCUUGUGUAAGCUUUCUCUGGUAGGAUUGUAGGAGGAAACAGAUGAGAUUUCAUCUCUGGAACUGUCAUAAUCUUCGUCAACUCCAUCGUCUAUAUCAUUUGCUCUAACCCAUUCGGUAUCUCCAUCCAUUGCUUUCCAGUAUACAUCCAGUUGGAGGGUUGUGGCAGGAACAGUUCCAUCACUCCGACCUUCUUCCAUUAGCAGGCCGUUGCUCUUCUGAGUCGCCCAUAUUUGCAAUGGAACACGAGUUUCCAGUUCAAUGAGAUCUUUUGAUGACUCUGUGUGAGAGUGGCCAUUUUCCAAUAUCAGCCAUCGUCCAGAUAAUGCACCCUUAACGUAGUAAAGAUACCGAAUUGUAGCACCACGAUAAGAUGGUGGAAUAAUGCUAGGCAGCACAGCUCGCACAACAUAUGUUUUUGUGGCACCAGAGGACAAAAUCUGAUUAGAAACCAUUGAUGAUGUCGAGCAAUCCAUAAGAACAUGUUCGCCUAUCCGCUGUCUAGAUCCAGGCAAUGGCUUCUGAGUAGCAAACCACUGAGGAUCCAACUUCUCGAUACCUUUAAUCUCAAACCCAAGCUUUUCAAUUAAUAAUGAACAUAGAGUGCUUUCUAAGGCGCCAUUAUUGGGAUUCGAUAUCUCAAUAGUAACAAAAAUGGAAUCACCAGGUCUAUAUACAUCUUUAUUUGUUUGCAGUUUGAUUGUUGGUGCAAGUUCACUUUUUAUACCAUCCGACAAAUUAUUAACCUUGUUCGAACCCCCAAUACCAAAAAAUGACAAUCUAGAUGUCAACAUACUGCCAACUAUUGUUGCUCAAUUAUUUCUAUUCUUCUUCAAGUUCUAAAUUAAUUAGUGGGAAAGCACAUGAACAAGUUCAAAUAAUAACCACAACAUUAUCCUUGUCCAGGGAUUGGAUGAGAGGAUGAUUUUCAUUGAAAUUAGAUUGCUUUUGAGUUGAAAGGUUUCUAUCUGCUCUAUUCAUUACCCGAUUUGGAAAUGAAACUAGUUAUGGUUCUCUGCGAUGAGAA